CUUUGAUGCGCUCUUGGUCUUCCAUGUUGAUGGGGGACACCGGCGGCGUGGCGUCCCGGCUGCGCGCCUCCGGCACGGUCUGCGGUUCCUCCUUGAAGGUGGAGGCGCCGCGGCCCAAGCCCAGCUGCGCCGGGUGGCCACCGGCGAAGGGCGGCGCGUGUGGGAGGUAGCUGAUGGUGGUCGUCGGGUACGAGCUCCCGGUCCCGACGGCAGCCCCGGCGCCUCCCGAGGACGCAGAGGCUGGGGAGUAGCUGCUGAGUUACAGACGUUCCACGUUCCGUCUCCCUGUGCCAGCCCUCAGGACCUGAGCAGCGGCCUUGCCGUAGCCUAUGUGCUGAACCAGAUAGACCCCUCCUGGUUCAACGAGGCAUGGCUCCAGGGCAUCUCGGAAGAUCCAGGUCCCAACUGGAAGCUGAAGGUGACAAGUGGACUCCUGAUUAGAGGACAGACUGGUGAAGAGAUGACCAGGGACGGGCCAGCUAGGCACAUGUCCUGGGUGAUGGGCAGGAAGAGGGACAGAUGUCUGGUGAUCAACCAUUUGUUCAUCCAUUCAUCUAUGGAGUACUCACCCUGUGCCAGGCCUGG
rnacentral:lncRNA from 1 species